ensembl:snoRNA
CUCACACCCCAACCCAAGAGUCACUGUUGGUUGUUGCAGUGGUUUAAACAGAGGUGCAGAUGGCAAGCAGGCCUCCUCGCCUUUGGGCAGCCGUGGCCGUGCCUCUCGAAGUGAAUUUGGAGGUUCCACAGCC